rnacentral:tRNA from 1 species
GCCGCCGUAGACCAAUAGAAGAGUCAGCGUCCUCAGAAGGCGUGUAGUGGUGGUGCAAGUCCACUCGGCGGUA